GACGUCGAAUAUCGAAGUCAUCAACACCAAAGUUGAUCGUGUUUAUGACGUCGAAUAUCGACGUCAUAAACACCAACGUUAAUCGUGUUUAUGACGUCGAAUAUCGACGUC